GCAGGAAGGAACUCUCCUUGUGGGGACAGAGGGCUUCUAUUUGGGGUUUGGAAAGAUGAGGGAAGGAAAGUUUGUCAGACAGACAAGGGGAGCAAAAACACUCUAGGCAGGGGGAUGGCAAACGCAGAGGCAUAGAGGAAGGUGACCCUGCAUGCUUACCUUGUUCGGGUAGAAUGUAAAAGGACAAGGCAUGGAGGAAUGCAACAUCCAGAUGGAUAAGUAGACAGGAAAUAACACGCCGUGAUAUGCCCAGUGCGACAAGUUAAGCAGAUUGGUUUUCAUCCUAGGAAACAUUACCCAAGUGUCUCUGUGGAAACUCGUACUACAGAUAUUUAUUUAUUUAUUUUUUUAAGUUUUAAGAUUGGCACCUGGGUUAACAACUGUUGCCAAUCUUCCUUUUUUUUUUUUUUAAGGAUUGGCACCUGGGCUAACUGUUGGCAAUUUUUUUUUUUUUUUUUCUGCUUUAUUUCCCAAACCCCUCCACCCCGUACAUAGUUGUAUAUCUUAGUUGCAGGUCCUUCUAGUUGUGGGAUGUGGGAUGCCGCCUCAAUGUGGCCUGACGAGCGGUGCCAUGUCCUCGCCCACGAUCGAACCCUGGGCCACCACAGCAGAGCGUGCGAACUUAACCACUCGGCCACGGAGCCGGCCCCGAGUACUGCAGAUAUUUAGCAGGAGCUUAUUCAACUGCACUUGAAGGAAUCUGAGAGGCACAGCCACCCUCCCAAGGCGCUUAACCCAAGGUACAACCCACUACCCUUUCUGUCUUGCCCAUCUUAAUGGCAGCCGUACCAUCCCAGACCUCUCCACACCCACCAAGGACGGUCUAAUUAAAGUGUUGCUGGCAUUUCUAUUGUCUUCUCUUUUGCUUAUUUUUAAUAUCCAUGAUGGCAGCUUUAAGCGAUGCUGAGAUAUCCACCUGGGCCGUGCCAUCUGAAUUAGCUCCCCAGGGACAAGUCAUUAUUUUUUUUUUUUUGGUGCUUUGAUUACAAAGAUGCAUUGGACUGGUCUGUUUUCCUAAACUCUAUUAUUUGUGAGGUGCAAUUUCCUGCAACACAUAUUGCAUUAUAGAAGAAAUGCCUGUGUUCUCAUUCUGCUUAAUUUCUCACCAUCACCUUUAUACUCACUGUCAUUAAAAUAAUCAAUAACCAUAAGUGUACAAUGCAUGCUAUAUGUCAGGUACUAUGCUAAACACUUUACAUACAUUAUUUCAUUUAAUCCUAAUAUUCUGAUUUGCAUGAGAGAAUCAGAAAUGUUAAGGAAUUUCUUCAAGAUCCCUCUGCUCCAGUAAAUGGUAAAGCCAGGAUUCAGAGUAGGCCAGGGGACUACGCUAUAAAUUAUUCAUGGGGAACAAUAUCAACUUUGGAUUUGGAUAAAGGGAAAAACUCAUGAUAAAACAAAUUUUGAACGUGGAAGAUACUUUAUUGCUACUCAAAAUGUGCUCUGCAAACUGGCAGCAUCAGCCUCAUCUCAGAAUCUAUUAAAAAUGCAAAUUCUCGAACCCUACCAAGACCUACUGAAUCAUCAUUUUAUUACCUUGUUCGGUUCUCAGUCUGAACCUUGGAAACAUGAG
rnacentral:lncRNA from 1 species